CAGAGGGUGCGAGCGUUGUUCGGAAUUACUGGGCGUAAAGCGUGCGCAGGCGGCCUUUUAAGUCUGACGGUGAAAUGCCGGGGCUCAACCCCGUGCCCGCCGCGGAUACUGGGAGGCUGGAGACGAGUAGAGGCAAGCGGAAUUCCGGGUGUAGCGGUGGAAUGCGUAGAGAUCCGGAAGAACACCGGAGGCGAAGGCGGCUUGCUGGGCUCGGUCUGACGCUGAGGCGCGAAAGCGUGGGGAGCGAACAGGAUUAGAUACCCUGGUAGUCCACGCCGUAAACGAUGGGCACUAGACGCUGGUGGGAUCGACCCCUUCGGUGUCGCAGCUAACGCGAUAAGUGCCCCGCCUGGGGAGUACGGCCGCAAGGCUG
rnacentral:rRNA from 1 species